UAUCAGCCUUUUGGGCAUGAUUCUGUGGAGCGUGAGGAGUUAAACGCCUUCAUGCCUGCAUAUUCGUGUACUUUGGGUGUACUUGCCUGUGUGGUUAGUUAACAUCAAUUUUGGUUAUCAUAAAAUGGUUGGAGGAAUGUAGCUUCGGUUUCGAUUGAAGUGUUAUAGCCUUCGGCAGAUGUGAUGAUUGGGAUUGAGGAUUGCAACGGAUACCCUUCGGGGCUACCUGUCUGGUCUCUGAUCGUUGCUUUGGUGCCGAAAGCGCGCUUACGGUUAUCAAAGUCGAUGGUCAAUAGGUUAGAACGGGUUAAAUUCGUUAAGGAUGUUGACGUA
rnacentral:rRNA from 1 species